AUCGAACGCUGGCGGCAGGCCUAACACAUGCAAGUCGAACGAGUGGCGGACGGGUGAGUAAUGUCUGGGAAACUGCCCGAUGGAGGGGGAUAACUACUGGAAACGGUAGCUAAUACCGCAUACCAUCGGAUGUGCCCAGAUGGGAUUAGCUAGUAGGUGGGGUAAAGGCUUACCUAGGCGACGAUCCCUAGCUGGUCUGAGAGGAUGACCAGCCCCACUGGAACUGAACCGCGGUCAAGACUCCUACGGGAGGCAGCAUUGGGGAAUAUUGCACAAUGGGCGCAAGCCUUAUGCAGCCAUGCCGCGUGUAUUAAGAAGGCCUCCGGGUUGUAAAGUACGUUCAGCGGGGAGGCGGUACCCGCAGAAGAAGCACCGGCUAACUCCGUGCCAGCAGCCGCGGUAAUAC
rnacentral:rRNA from 1 species